ensembl:lncRNA
AGAAGAUAUAUUUUUCAGCAGUUAUGGGCUGAUAGCAAUUAGGAAUAAUGAAGUGCAGAUGGUUUGGGUUUCUUUUUCCUCCAAAAUCUGCAAACAGGGCAUUUCCACAACGAUUAUUUAAACAAACGGAGUGGGAGUGUAGCCAGGCCAGUUUUCAUAAAGCACUUUUUAUGGAGCAGACCUACUGGGUGGCUCAGUAAUGCUCAAGAUUAAUCUUUGUAUCUGACAAUUGAGGAGUUAAACUAAACAACACUGAAGCUGAGCACUGGCUGUAGAGCUUACCAAGUGAGCUCAUGAGGUCUGUCUCUUACUCUGUCUUGACCAACCCUGUUAGCAGUCCCCAGCUCUGGCCCAUAUAUCAGGGAAUAUAAAGAAAAGAAAGGAACUGACUGUGUGUGCUGUGUGAUCAGCAGGAGAAGCUACAAGGUUCCUUUAAGAACAUAAAUUCUGCCUUGCUUGGCGAUUCAGUCAAUGAGGCUACUAAAGCCACAGCUUACAGCCUGCUUAAGAAAUACAGAGGCAGCAAGAAGGAAAAUGGGAUAGGUCUCUGUGUCAAACAUAUCACCGGCUCUCUGAGUCACUAACAGCUUGAAAAUAGAUUGCCAUGGUUACAUCUGGAUGAGUGCUCUGUACAGACAGAGACUCACAAGUUGAUAUUUGCCACAGAGUAACAUAUCACUUUAGUAAACAGAACAACCAGCACAUAAACAGCUGUGUGUAACAGGCAGGGGGAAAAAGGAAUAGCAUUACUGGAAGGGAUUUCAAUAUGAGUGAUUUAAGGAGGCGGCUCAUAAAGCCAGAAUGAAAUGUUCUUGGAACUAUUAUUAUGGAUGAUACUGUGCUACCUAGCACAGUACUGCAUCCAAUAUUGGGGCCUGCUGGUCAUGGGAAAAAAAUCUUGAAAAGGAGAGAAGAAUGAACUGUGACAAAAGAAGCCACCCUUGUUUACAUUAUGCUGAUCAUGUUUCAGUGCUUGCUACAGAGCAGAACCUCAGCCAGCGCUGCAGGCUUGGGAAUUACCCACAGAAACAACUCAAUUAAGCUUCACUUUCCUGCUCCUGGUCAAGACAGAACGUCAGGUCUCCAGAGCUGCAACUAAAUCAUACAAUCAUUAAGGUUGGAAAAGACCUUUAAGAUCACCUAGCCCAACCGUUCACCCACCACCAAUAUUUCCCCACUAAACCAUGUCCAUUAGUACAAUAUCUACAUGUUUCUUGAACCCCUCCAGGGACGGUGACCCAGCCACCCCCCUGAGCAGCCUGUUCCAGUGCCUGACCACUCCUUCAGAGAAGAAAUUUCUCCUAAAAUCCAAUCUGAACCUCCCCUGGUGCAACUUGAGGCAAUUUCCUUUCAUCCUAUCAUUGUCACGCAGGAGAAGAGGCCGACCCCCACCUCACCACAACCUCCUCUCAGGCAACUGCAGAGAGCUAUAACGUCUCCCCUGAGCCUCCAGCUCUCCAGACUGAAUAAUUCCAGUUCCCUCAGCCACUCCUCAUAAGAAUGUUUAGAAACUAUGUAUUCUGUUGCCACAGUGAAUAAUAAUAGGUAAUUAUUAUUAAUAAUGAUGGUUAUGACAAUAAUAAUAUUAAUUGCACUAAAAUAAAAUGUUGGAAAUUACAUCUUUAUCCUAAAAAAAAAGAAAAAAAAAAGAAAAAGAAAUUAGUAUUAGUAUUAGUAUUAGUAUCUUGUAGAUUCAGCAUUGUGAGGAUGAACUAGUUUUCAUUCUGGUUUGGCACUGAGAUUCCCAGAUUUUAUACAACAUCAUGAAAUCAGUAGUAUGUGAGAUUCACUGCUGCACAUGAAAUAUCAAAAGGAACUUGAAAGGUUAGCAGAGGAAUUGCUUUUAUUUUGCAGGCAAAACAUGGCUCCUGUACCUACCAGCCAACCAGAUCAGUUAAUCAAAAUGCCAAAUGGUCUUCAUUUGCAUGUAACUUUUGAACCUUUCUUAAAAUAAAAUACAAUUACGCUGC